AACGAACGCUGGCGGCAUGCCUAACACAUGCAAGUCGAACGAGAUCUUCGGGUCUAGUGGCGCACGGGUGCGUAACGCGUGGGAAUCUGCCCUUUGGUUCGGAAUAACAGUUGGAAACGACUGCUAAUACCGGAUGAUGACGAAAGUCCAAAGAUUUAUCGCCAGAGGAUGAGCCCGCGUAGGAUUAGCUAGUUGGUGUGGUAAAGGCGCACCAAGGCGACGAUCCUUAGCUGGUCUGAGAGGAUGAUCAGCCAUACUGGGACUGAGACACGGCCGAGACUCCAACGGGAGGCAGCAGUGGGGAAUAUUGGACAAUGGGCGAAAGCCUGAUCCAGCAAUGCCGCGUGAGUGAUGAAGGCCUUAGGGUUGUAAAGCUCUUUUACCCGGGAUGAUAAUGACAGUACCGGGAGAAUAAGCUCCGGCUAACUCCGUGCCAGCCGCCGCGGUAA
rnacentral:rRNA from 1 species